rnacentral:rRNA from 1 species
GACGAACGCUGGCGGCGUGCCUAAUACAUGCAAGUCGAACGCAGGGGGGACGGGUGAGUAACACGUGGGUAACCUCCCAUCAGAGGGGAUAACACGUGGAAACAGGUGCUAAACCGAUACUGAUGGAUGGACCCGCGGGGCAUUGGCUAGUUGGUGAGGUAACGGCUCACAAGGGCCACGAUGCAUAGCCGACCUGGGAGGGUGAGCGGCCACACUGGAACUGAGACACGGCCAAGACUCCUACGGGAGGCAGCAGUGGGGAAUCUUCGGCAAUGGACGAAAGUCUGACCGGGCAACGCCGCGUGGGUGAAGAGGGUUUUCGGAUCGUAAAACUCUGUUGUUAGGGAGGCGGUAUCUAACCAGAAAGCCACGGCUAACUACGUGCCAGCAGCCGCGGUAAUAC